ACCUGAAGUUGACCAACCGCAGAGAAUAACUUUCAACUGAGAUCAUAUCUUUAGAUGCUAUGAUACCGUUAAAUUGGAUGAGCAACACAAAGUACAUAGAAAAUGUGUGUUGGUUUAUCAGCUUUCGUUGCGGAGAUUUUGUAACGAUUUCGUACCUGCAUUUGUGAAGUACUUUUUGAGUUUAUAGAAACAAUAUAACACAAAUCAAAUUUAUUAUUA